AUGAGCCUACGUUAAAUUAGCUAGUUGGUAAGGUAAUGGCUUACCAAGGCUAUGAUCUAUAGCUGGUCUGAGAGGACGAUCAGCCACACUGGAACUGAUAUACCGUCCAGACUCCUACGGGAGGCAGCUGUGGGGAAUAUUGGACAAUGGGCGAAAGCCUGAUCCACCUAUGCCGCGUGAGUGAAGAAGGUCUUCGGGUUGUAAAGCUCUUUCAAUAGGGAAGAUAAUGACGGUACCUAUA
rnacentral:rRNA from 1 species